GACGAACCGUACGAACGUUAUUCGGAAUCACUGGGCUUAAAGGGUGCGUAGGCUGCGCAGCAAGUUGGGUGUGAAAUUCCUCGGCUUAACCGAGGAACUGCGCCCAAAACUGCUGUGCUCGAGGGAGAUAGAGGUGAGCGGAACUUAGGGUGGAGCGGUGAAAUGCGUUGAUAUCCUAAGGAACACCGGUGGCGAAAGCGGCUCACUGGAUCUCUUCUGACGCUGAUGCACGAAAGCUAGGGGAGCAAACAGG
rnacentral:rRNA from 1 species